rnacentral:rRNA from 1 species
UACGGGGGGAGCAAGCGUUGUUCGGAUUUACUGGGCGUAAAGGGCGCGUAGGCGGUCAGCACAAGUCAGUUGUGAAAUCUCCGGGCUUAACUCGGAAAGGUCAACUGAUACUGUGCGACUAGAGUGCAGAAGGGGCAACUGGAAUUCUCGGUGUAGCGGUGAAAUGCGUAGAUAUCGAGAGGAACACCUGCGGCGAAGGCGGGUUGCUGGGCCGACACGUGACGCUGAUGCGCGAAAGCCAGGGAGCGAAGCGGG